rnacentral:rRNA from 1 species
AGUGAACGCUGGCGGUAGGCCUAACACAUGCAAGUCGAACGGCAGCACAGUAAGAGCUUGCUCUUACGGGUGGCGAGUGGCGGACGGGUGAGGAAUACAUCGGAAUCUACUUUUUCGUGGGGGAUAACGUAGGGAAACUUACGCUAAUACCGCAUACGACCUACGGGUGAAAGCAGGGGAUCUUCGGACCUUGCGCGAUUGAAUGAGCCGAUGUCGGAUUAGCUAGUUGGCGGGGUAAAGGCCCACCAAGGCGACGAUCCGUAGCUGGUCUGAGAGGAUGAUGAGCCACACUGGAAGGGGAAAACGGUACAGACUCCUAGGGGAGGCAGCAGUGGGGAAUGUAGGAAAAUGGGAGGAAGGCUGAUCCAAACAUAACGGGUGGGAGAAGAAGGCCUUAGGGAUAUAAAGCCUUUUUGUGGGGAAAAAAAAACAAAAGGUUAAAACCCCGCUGUUCAGACGGUAACAAAAAAAUAAAAAACGAAUAACUUGGU